rnacentral:misc_RNA from 1 species
AGUCAUAAUAAGUCUGUAAAUAAACAUAUGAACUAAUCCUAAUCCAUCCCCAAUUAGGAAUACUAAACAAGAUAAACUUGAAAAUAAUAUGCCUAAUAAUAAUAAAAUUCAUAAAGAAUAAAAACCCUUUAAAUUUCCUAAUUUUAUAAUAAUUAAAAUUUCUAAAUAGUAUUCUGUUCCCAUACUGCAUCAGGAGGACUUUAUUUGCUGUCAGAGAACUGGUUUCAUGUGUUGACCACUUUAUCUUAAAUGCUUGUUAUCCGGGUCAGGUAACACAAUUGUGGAGUGUCAACUUGUCUCUGAAUCUCUAGCAAGUUUAAUAUCUAAGAUUCUGUAAGAUACUGGAACAAAAAAAGAAUUAAUCAAGUUCUAAAAUUGCAAGUCAUCUUCUUUUUACUUUCUUUUACCCAAAGCUUUUAUAUCCUACAGCUUCCCAAGAUAUAGAUAUGGAUCGGUUUGAACCAUCUAAUAUAGCAAUUACAGAAUCUAAUAACAAAGUAGGUUGUCAUUGGUCUCUUCCAGGAACAUAUUUCAACUUUUUCAUGACUGAUACAAGUGCUACUUGGCAUUACCAAUGUCCUUUGCAUAUUUGCAAUUGUUCAUAUUGCAUUAUAUGCACGGAGUAAUUCUUACAUUCUUUUUUCCGGUAUAAAAAAUGUUCUUUUAAUAUUUAAGCUAUUUAACAAUGACAUUAGUAUGUCCUCAACCAUCCGAUGUUGUCAAUCAUAGUUGAUGUGAUUUGUUUUUGGAUUGUAUGUCUAUUUGCUCUGAUAUGACAAAAGUUUAUGAGUAAAUCCGUUAUGGUUUCUUUCUCAAGUGUUUUUAAGGCUUAAAUAAGAGCAGUAGGCCUAUGGCAGAUUCCAUGGAGA